CAGGUGGUGCCCAAGGUUAUUUAAUGCAAGCACACAAAGCAUUUCUGCAUGAGGUUUACCAAUCUGAAGUUCAACCAUAAAGAAAAGCAUUUUCUCUCCAAUGAAUUCUCCAGAGGACAAGUCAUUGAUGCAUUUAAAGGAAACCUAAGUAAGCACAUCGAGGAGAAGGAAAUGGAACAAAGAACAAAACCAUUAGAUUAGAUGGGGUGCGGUGGAAGGAUGUUCCUUCGGAGAUCUUAACACUGGUACACCUCUACAGGGAGAACUGGGAUGUGUAGCACUUGAAGCUUAGGAGAUACAUGACCUGCUAAAGUUUGGAAAUGUUGACUGAGAUUUGUGCACAUUUCCAACAGGU